GACGAACGCUGGCGGCGUGCUUAACACAUGCAAGUCGAACGGAAAGGCCCUGCUUUUGUGGGGUGCUCGAGUGGCGAACGGGUGAGUAACACGUGAGUAACCUGCCCUUGACUUUGGGAUAACUUCAGGAAACUGGGGCUAAUACCGGAUAGGAGCUCCUGCUGCAUGGUGGGGGUUGGAAAGUUUCGGCGGUUGGGGAUGGACUCGCGGCUUAUCAGCUUGUUGGUGGGGUAGUGGCUUACCAAGGCUUUGACGGGUAGCCGGCCUGAGAGGGUGACCGGCCACAUUGGGACUGAGAUACGGCCCAGACUCCUACGGGAGGCAGCAGUGGGGAAUAUUGCACAAUGGGCGGAAGCCUGAGGCAGCAACGCCGCGUGCGGGAUGACGGCCUUCGGGUUGUAAACCGCUUUCGCCUGUGACGAAGCGUGAGUGACGGUAAUGGGUAAAGAAGCACCGGCUAACUACGUA
rnacentral:rRNA from 1 species